GCUCGUAGUUGAACUUUAGCGUGUUCGAGUUUGCCAUUCGUUUGGCUUUUUCGAGUUCGCUUUUGGGUUUUCCCUUUUUACUUUGAGAAAAUUAGAGUGUUUCAAGCAGACUUUUGUCUUGAAUACUUCAGCAUGGAAUAAUAGAGUAGGACUUUGGUUCUAUUUUGUUGGUUAUUGAACCUUAGUAAUGGUUAAUAGGAACGGUUGGGGGCAUUCGUAUUUAACUGUCAGAGGUGAAAUUCUUAGAUUUGUUAAAGACAAACUACUGCGAAAGA
rnacentral:rRNA from 1 species